rnacentral:rRNA from 1 species
UACGAAGGGGGCUAGCGUUGUUCGGAUUUACUGGGCGUAAAGCGCACGUAGGUGGGUCGCUAAGUCGGGGGUGAAAUCCUGGAGCUCAACUCCAGAACUGCCUUCGAUACUGGCGACCUUUGAGUCCGGGAGAGGUGGGUGGAACUGCGAGUGUAGAGGUGAAAUUCGUAGAUAUUCGCAAGAACACCAGUGGCGAAGGCGGCUCACUGGCCCGGUACUGACACUGAGGUGCGAAAGCGUGGGGAGCAAACAGG